UGUUAAGGUGCGGCUCUGAUCAGGUUGUUGGAUCUUUAUUUGUUGUUCAGAUGUUUUUUUUCGACUCUUUUGAUCGUUUGAACAAAUUGUGAAGCUAGAAAGUGUGUGUGAGCUGAUGUGAAUUCAGCAGCAUGGAUCAGUGUGAGGACAGAGAGGAGGGAGUCCCUCCCUCUAAAACCACUCUGUGUGGGGAAGAUGAGAGC